rnacentral:piRNA from 1 species
UACAAUUUAUACCAUUCUGCC